AUUGAACGCUGGCGGCAUGCCUAACACAUGCAAGUCGAGCGAGCGGCGGACGGGUGAGUAAUGUCUGGGAAACUGCCUGAUGGCGGGGGAUAACUACUGGAAACCGUAUCUAAUACCGCAUACAAUCCGAUUUGCCCAGAUGGGAUUAGCUGGUAGGUGGGGUAACGGCUCACCUAGGCGACGAUCCCUAGCUGGUCUGAGAGGAUGACCAGCCACACUGGAACUGAGACACGGUCCAGACUCCUACGGGAGGCAGCAGUGGGGAAUAUUGCACAAUGGGCGAAAGCCUGAUGGAGCAAUGCCGCGUGUGUGAAGAAGGUCUUCGGGUUGUAAAGCACUUUUGGCGGGGAAGCGGUACCCAAAGAAGAAGCAACGGCUAACUCCGUGCCAGCAGCCGCGGUAAUAC
rnacentral:rRNA from 1 species